rnacentral:rRNA from 1 species
UUACUUCAGGUCAAGGUGCAGCUUAUAUAAAGGGAAUGAUGAGCUACAAUUCUAAUAAGAAUACGGAUUUUAAUUUAAAUUUUAAUUGAAGGUGGAUUUGUUAGUAAAUUUAUGUAGGAAAAUGAUUGAAUA